rnacentral:lncRNA from 10 species
CCGGGGUUCAUGCCAUUCUCCUGCCUCAGCCUCCCGGUAGCUAGGACUACAGGCACCCACCACCACGCACUGCUAAUAUUUUGUAUUUUUAGUAGAGACGGGGUUUCACAGUGUUAGCCAGGAUGGUCUGUAGUUUCUCUUUUUUUAUAGCUAAGUAUUACAGAAUACAGUUAUCAUCUGAGGACCAGGCUAUCAGAAAACAAGGAACCAUAUCCAGCCCUGAUGGAAGGACUGAGCAUCAUGUGGAGAUCCUGAACUCUGAUGAAGAUGUCGUGAUUGGGUGUGACUUUGAGUUGUCUUCAUAGGCUGCGGCAGCAACAAGGCGCCCUCUUGGAAGCAGAGCAACCUUCACUGGACAAUGAGCCUUCUGGUAUCUUGGACUUCUCAGCCUUCAGAACUCCUCUCAUUUCAAUUUUGAGAGAACCUGAAUUUUAUUGUCUCUCUUUCAAGCUUACCAGCGAGAGCAGGAUUUAUUUUGAAGUUUCAGGGAAAGUACUUAAUGGAUGUUACAACGUAUUUGCUGACAAUACAAGAGAGAAGACUGAUCAUAUUGGAAAUAUUAAAGGUAAUACCGAUUUUUAUAGAAGACGUGGGAAUUCUUUGAGGUGAAAUUGCUUUCCACUGCUAUGUGUAUUCUGGAAGGCAGGAACACAGAGGCUUUCUCAAUUCUUAAAACAGAGUCUGACCCAAAUAAGGUGCGUACUACAUAUUUUCUGAAUAAAUGAAAUUGUAUUUUGUUGUCUCUGAAUUCACUACAGGUUUUGAUGACAGAAAUUAUCAACUAGCCUCUCUGCCUAUAGCAACUUCCUCCUGCGUAUCCUUCCAGUACACCAUUGCUAGUUACUUUUGUCACUUCCAUGUUUAAAAAUCUCCCAUGGCUCCCUAUGGCUGAGCAGGACAGGUUAAACUUCUCAUGCAGACAGUUACGGCCCUUCCUCGAAUGGAUCCCUUUUGUUUAUUCCACGUGUGUUUCACUGUGGCUCUAAUAUGAGCCCUCUGCUCUGUGCAAGUUGGUUUUCUUACUCUUCCCCUCAUGAAAUAGCUUACUGACUAUGAAGGCUAUUCUUAGAAUCUCUAUAAUUUUGUAUGUGUAGAAAAUACUGCACAUUUUUUUAUUAGCCUGUAAGAACACUGAAGGGCAGAGUCUUCAUCUUUUCAACCUGGAACACAGUAAGAAUAAUCGUUGGUUUUUGGAUGAAUGGAUUGUGGGGUUUUUUUGUUUCCUCAGGUAAAUUUUUGCAAACAACAUCAACCAAAAACUCAUCUCUAGUACAAAACUGAUGAAGUGAGUAUAAAAACAAACCUAGGGAUUCACAAUCACAGUUCUCAUGAUAAAAACAUGCUAUAAGUAGGUACCAGGCACUGUGCUCUAUAAGAAGGAUACAAAAUUUUUUCAUGAGUUUUCUGAAAGCGCUUAGAAUAUAAAAGAGAAGAUAAACAUUUUCAUAGCUGUAUCUCCCUCUCUCUCUUCAUCUAUAUCUAUAUCAUGUUCUCUAGGCACAGCUGUAGAAAAACUUACCCUGUCUGGGGUGUUUAGACACAAACUAAUGACCAGAAAAUGUGAUCUUCAGAAUGGUGCUUGGAAGUCAUUCCUGUGACUUAAAAAGUUCAGCUACUUUCUUUUUAUUUUAUUUUUUUCUUAGACAGGGUCUCACGCUGUUGCAAUCACAGCUCACUGCAGCCUCAACCUCCCUGGGCUCAGGUGAUCCUCCCACCUCAGCCUACCAAGUAGACUACAGGUGUACACCACCAUGCCCAGCUUCUUAUUUUUCCUUUUUUUGUAGAGACCAAGUCUUGCCAUGAUGCCCAGGUGGGUCUCGAACUCCUGGGAUCAAGUGAUCUGCCCUCUUCUGCCUCCCAAAGUGCUGAGAUUACAGAUGUGAGCCACUGCACCCAGCUAAGUCAGCUACUUUCUUUCAGCAAAUGAUAGGCUCAGAGAGAUUAAACUCAGAAAGGACUAAAUGCAAAUAGCUGAGAUCUUGCCUUCACUUCCUUCUUACAGUGAAUAAAUAUGCACCCAGAAUGAAGUGAGGCAAUAAAGGUCCUUUAUAUAGGAAGAUUCAUAAAGGACAGAAAGCCAAAUAGAGAUCUAGAGUCCAACCUGUUUUUCCUUUUCCUAUAUUUUCUAUUGGUACAUGCUGAACAGACUUUUUUUUUUUUUUUUUUUGAGAUGCAGUCUCCCUCUAUCACCCAGGCUGGAGUGCAGUGGCGCACUCUCGGCUCACUGCAACCUCCGCCUCCUAGGUUCAAGCGAUUCUCCUGCCUCAGCCUCCCAAGUAGCUGGGACUACAGGCACAUGCCACCAUACCCGGCUAAUUUUUUGUAUUUUUAGUAGAGAUGGGGUUUCACCAUGUUAGCCAGGAUGGUCUUGAUCUGCUGACGUCAUGAUCCACCUGCCUCGGCCUCCCAAAGUGCUGGGAUUAUAGGCAUGAGCCAUUGCGCCUGGCCACAUCUUUCUUAUACUAAAAGCAGAAGCUCUGUGCUGAAGAAAAGAACAAUGAAGUCUGCAGAAGCCUGAUGUUCUAGUUCUGUGCUACCCACUGUGCACAAAGGAGUUGCACCAUGUGGUCUCCAGCAUGUAUCUAGUUCUAAAAUUCUACGUCCCAAUGAUUCUAAAGUCAGAAGUGUCCUCACUGCAUGUUAUAGUUAUUGACAAAUCCAAUAUCUACAAGAGUUUCUGUGUAUAUAUUUCAAGUUUUGAAAACACAAGUCUUAAGUUUUUUCUCAAAAUAUAGAUAGUAGUUAAAAAUACGAAAUCACUUAAUAAACACCCUAAAUACUUGGUAGAAUUUCAAAGUCUCUAUCAAUUUCAAAGGGAAGCACUUGGGUUUUCCUGGAACCUGUACUUUAAAACCAAGAUCUUUCAGUAGAUAGUUGCUUGCAAGGGGAAAUCCAAGGGAAAAGAAAUGUUCACCCACUUAAAAAAAAAUCUCUCGGCUGGGUGUGGUGGCUUAUACCUGAAAUCCCCGCACUUUGGGAGGCCGAGGCGGGUGGAUCACCUGAGGUCAGCAGUUCACGACCAGCCUGGCCAAUGUGGUGAAACCCCGUCUCUACCAAAAAUACAAAAAUUAGCUGGGUGUGGUGGUGGGCACCUGUAAUCCUAGCUACUGGGGAGGCUGAGGCAGGAGGAUUGCUUGAAACUGGGAAGUGGAGGUUGCAGUGAGUUGAAAUACUGCCAUUGCAGUCCAGCCUGGGCGACAAGAGUAAAACUGUCUCAAAAACAAACAAACAAACAAACAAACAAAAAAUCUCUCCACACAAAUGGCCAAACUCAUGCAGAAAUGCUUGACAUCAAUAAUCAUCAGAAAUGCAAAUCAAAACCACAAUAAGAUACUAAUUCACACCAGUCAGAAUCACUAUUAUUAACAUAAAAAGUCAGAAAACAAUAGAUGCUGGUGAUGUUGCAGAGAAAAGGGAACACUCAUACACUGCUGCUGGGAAUGUAAAUUAGUUCAGCGACUGUGAAAAGCAGUCUGGGGAUUUCUCAAAGAACUUAAAACAAAACUACCAUUUUACCCAGCAGUCCCAUUAUUGGAUAUAUAUCCAGAAGAAAACAAAUUGUUCUACCAAAAAGACACAUGCACUUACGUGUUCAUCACAGCACUAUUCACAAUAGCAAAGACAUGGAAUCAACCCAAGUAUCCAUCAACAGUGGAUUGGAUAAAGCAAAUAUGGUAUAUAUACAUCAUGGAAUACCAUGUACCCAUUAAAAAGAAUGAAAUCAUGUCCCUUGCAGCAACAUGUAUACACCUGAAGGCCAUUAUUCUAAACGAACUGAUGCAGGAACAGAAAACCAAAUACAGCAUGUCCUCACCUAUAAGUGGGAGCUAAACAUUGGGUACAUACACAUGGACAAAAAGAUGGUAACAACAGACACUGGGGACUACUAGAGGGAAAAGGAUGGGGGUGGGGCGAGGGUUGAAAAACUAACCGUUGAGUACUAUACUGACUACCUGGGUGACAAGAUCAGUCAUACUCUAGACCUCAGCAUCAUGCGAUAUACCCAUGUAACAAAGUUGCACAUGUACCCCCUGAAUCUAAAAUAAAAGUUGAAAUUAUAAAAAUAAA